CACACACACUGUAACAGAUAUUUAAUGUACGAUAUGGAGUAAAACGCGUUUUCUUCCUGCAGCCGGUGCUGUUUGUGAUGUGCGCCGGGAACGAGCUCUUCUUCUCUCUGCUCUACGUCCUCCAUCACAUCGAGGAACCUUUUGCCUGGCUCUACUGGCUGCAGGGACUCUGCGGGACGAUCUGCCUGCUGAAGUCCGGCAUCAGCGUCCUGCACCUGAUCACCGCUUCCCAGAACAUGGCCGCCCUGGACGCCGCCGAGCGAGAGAAAAGCAUGAAGACACAGUGAGAGAGAGAGAGAGAGAGAGAGAGGAGGCGGUGAGAGCUUCAGCAGCAAAUCCACCACGGUUUUAUUAAUUCUUGUUUUAAGGGUAACAGCAGACUUUGUGCACCUGAACUAACGGUGACUGAAAUAAGACGUGAAACGCGGCAACAUCAGAAAGAAAGAAAGAAAGAGAGUUUAUGACCAAAAAAAACACAACAGUCAAAUUCCAGAUCCAGGCAGGUGUGAUUCUUAAAGGCGGAUAAUUUAUUUCCUGCAGACGAAACACGAGUUGAAGAGCUGAUGUUUCUGUGCUCUGAUUUAUUUUACAAGCGUACAGGAAGGUUUCACAACAUAAACUGAUAUCACAAUAUAAAAAUACACGUGAUCUAAAUGAAUUGAUUUGUAUCACCAUCACCAGGUGUAUGUGUGGAUGGACAGCCGACAUUUGUGUCUCUCAGUUAUUAUUUGCUUUUGAGUCACUGGUUUGGUUCACGUCCGUUUUUGCAAUGUGUCUUUGCACAAUUAUUGACACAAUCUUUCUAUUUUUCACCUGUGAUACAAAACUAACAGGACAAUAUCUGUAAUUUCUGGCUCAGAGUUUCCCUAAAGUUGUCUAGCGCUAAGAUCAGAAGACAUUAUUAUCAUUAUUUUCAUGAAAUAUAACAUUAGUCCUCAUCAGGAGGAAAGCGAGAGGGGAAACUCACCCCGAGUCCGAGUACGUUUAAAGUGAGUGAAACCCCGGGGUCGCCAUCUUUGAUUGGAUCAGGACAAUGAGAGUCCCGAUUUCAGAAACACGUUAAAAAUGUUUGUCAUCGUGCAGCAGAAGAAACGAUUUUACGUAACAGCAGCUCUAAAGGCCAGUUUAUCCUUCUGUGUGGAAUCUACGCCGUAGCCUGAUGCAACGCAGACCGCAAGAGCUGUGAUUGGUCAGCAUCACAUUUCCUUCUUCUGCUGCCUCAACCAGUUCAAGGGUCGUGCGUGCCAUCUCCUUCUCUCAUUUCUGCAUUUUAGUCAUUUCACUAAGGCUGCCUUCAGACUGCAGGCCAAUGUGACCCAAAUCCGAUUUCUUUUUUUACCCAUAAGUGACUCAGAUCUGAUCUUUUUAUGACGGUGUGAACAAGUCACGUGGAAUCUGAUCUUUUCCAGUUCGGUGGUCCAAAGCCGAUCUUUUUAAAUGCGACCAGAGCCUGGACACUUUCAGACGGUUCACACUGGAGUCUGAUAUGGGCCACAUUUAAACUAUAAUGUGGCCCAUAAAAAAAAAAAAUCGGAAUUGAGCGUUAAGGCCUUCAGUCCAAUUAAGUAACUGCAGCUCCAACAUGAUCCGCUAACGAAGAAGAAAAAUAAGCUCAACACAGACGAAUAAAGAAACCCCACCGCCAAGUAGCGUAUAAAUGCUAAAGUAUAAACUGACCUUAAGUGUUAAAGAACCUUGUGGGCUUUAUAAAGAUGGACAGGGGUUUAUUUUCACAUCGCUCUGUGGCUGCAACGAUAAAACACAAGAAGCACAAACUGGAGCUCGACACGUCACCGUAGCUUUUUCAUCCGCUUCAAUUCUACUAAUCGUAAAGAUGUUCAGCAGUACAACAUCUGCAGUUUAAUAUCCACACUGAAUGCCUGUGAAAUAAAUCUUAAAUAAACUUUUUUUUUUUUUUUUGUGUAAGGCCACAGAUUUGUUCAGUAGCAGUUUGGUUUUACUUCCUCUGGUGACGACACGUAAAAAAAGACAAUCAGACGUCUAUUGGCCUCAACAGAAGCAAAAAAAUCCACAUAUAAUUUAAUUAAAUAUCCAACCAGUGUGACAAAAAUCUGUCACAUUGGGAAUGAACUCCGAUUGCCAGAUUGUCAAACGUUAAGUAGAAACUCGCCGUUUUUUUCUUCUCACACGUGAUUAUCGUUGGGUUCUUUGUCUUCUGCGAUAUUAAAUUUAAUAUCUUUGGCUUUUGGACUGUUGGUAAACAACAUAGGAUGUGUCGACUGAAUGGACAUUUCUUCAUUAUUAUUUAUUUUCUGAGGUUUUAUGGGCCAAAUUAAUUAAGAAAAUAAUAGUUAAUCGAUGAAGAAAACCCUGAAGUGGCUGAAGCCGGGCAACCCAAAAGCUUCUAAUCGAUCUGUGAAAGAUUUAUUGAUCCGUAACGAAGCCGUCACUUUGACUGAUAAGCUGCUGCUGCUUCACCUUCUGCAUUCAAACAAACAUUCUGGAGAAAAUGGCCGCCGCCGUGGCGUCUCCUGUCGGGUGGACGUUUCACAGUAAAGCUGAAAACUUUGACAAGAAAAAUCCACUUUUAUUCCUAAUUUGUUGUUUUUAUUGUUCAUUUUUGAUUCCCUGAAGUCUUCAACGACAUCGUUUUUGUUCUUUAAUUUUAAAACUGUUAGAGAGUUCUUAAAUGUGCUCAAAUAUUCCUUUUGUGACCUCCGAGCCGCCGCCGCUGUUGCCGUUGUGGGAAGACGAUCAGUACGUGCUUAUUUGACAUUGAUGACGUCGUUUCUUUGUGGUAGAAGAGACGUGUUUCCUUUUUGUUUUCGUCAGCUUAGAAACAAAUAGAAAGUUAUGCGGGACAUAAGUUGUUGUUUUUUUUUACCUCACGUGAGAAGCACCAAGUAUUAUCCGUUAUGGUUUUUGCGUUGUAUAUUUAAAAGUCACUGGUUGUGUGUUUGUGCUGCUGUAAAGCAAAGUUCUAUCGCAGAAUGUGUGUGCAAAGUUUUGAAAUAUAAAUAUUCACCUCUUGGGGUUUUUUUUUUUUGAUGGAACUCAUUUCCCAGAAUGUAUUAUUAUAAAAUAGAAAAUGUACAAACAACAACAGAACAGAAGUCUAAUAUUAUUUUUAAAAGACGCCAAUUGUUGUAAUUAAUAUAUUUGAUGGUUGUUCUGUUUUGUGCAAGUGGCUUUAACUGACUAAAAGCAGCUACAAAAUAAAGACAAUGAAAACCUGA